rnacentral:lncRNA from 1 species
AUGGCGAAGAGGACAAACUUUCUUCUGUGUGGGCUUCCCUGCUUGAUCAUCUUUGUGACAAAACACAGUUCAUCGGACAGAGGUAUGUUGGCACUUGAAACCAAAGGCAAUCCUCUUUUUAAGUCACUGCCCAGUAUAUUUGGAUAUACUGUGGACUGGAUGCAACAGGCCACAGUUCAUCAGGAUGUGGGUUUGCCCCCAUGGCCUCAACAGACAAUUGCAAAGCCUGGCAUCAUUUCUAAGAGCUCUGCAACUCUUAGUGAAUUAGGACGAGCUACACUGAUUGCCAUUUUUGUAGGUCCAGAGUGGCCAAAUACUGACAAUUUUGUGCAGUUCCUCAACUAUUUAUUCUACAACUUUUGCACUGUGUUCAAAUGGACGACUAUGCCCAGUUUCAUACAAAGGUGGAAUGAGAAAGCAGGCUUCUGUUUUGCCUGACACUUUCAAAAGAUCCACCAUGCCCUUCAAUACAACCCCACUUUUUUCAUGGUAUCUUUCCUUUGCUUCCAGUAGACUCCAGAAGCAUCCUUAAUCUCUUCCUGUCUUUCCCAUGGUCCCCCAAGUCCAGUCGUCUUCCUCCUUAAAUAUCCUUUAAGCAGGGUCCCCAUUCUUUUCAAGUGGGCCAGUGCUGUCCAAUCGAAACAGAAUGCAAACCCAAUACAUACACUUGAUUCUUUUUAGCAGCCCCGGUUAAAAAGAUCUUACCACUCACUAGUUGGGCUGGGCAUACUCUUUCCAGACUGGAGGGAUUGAAAACUAUCAUGUCUUCAUUUGCUGCUGCCACCUGCAAAUGCAGAGUGUCCCAGAUGCCAGUCACUGGCAGCCAAGCUUGCCUCCAUCUCCACAACCUUUCCUUUCACCUUACAACGAUGAAUAUUAAAGAUUCCAAAGUGCCUCUUAUUUCUUGUGACAAAAUCAACUGCUUCUCAAGAUGCCUGGAGGUAGAAAUGAUCAUCCCUUCAGAUCAUAGUUUCUGGAGCCAGACUGCCUGGGUGUGAAUCCUGGCCUGAUCACUUACUACCUGUGGGACAGUAGACAAAACAAUCUCUUUGCGCUUCAUUUCCUAAUCUAUAUAAUGGAGAUAAUCAUAGUACCCAUCUCAUGGAGUUGUUCUAAAGUCAGUAGUAUGAUAUGGAAAGGGCUGAAAUAGUCCUGAUACAAAGCAAGUGUCCUAUAAGGGUUGGAGAAGAUUUCUCCCAUCCUUUCUAGGUGAACCACCCAACUACCCAAAUGAGGUCUUGCUUCUCUUGGUCCAGACACACAAUAAAAAAAAAACCUUAUGUUGGCCCAUUUCUUCCCUCUUUCCCACCUUACCCUUCUUCCUUCUUUCAUGGGAACUUUUCAUAUUACAUAGUUUCAAACUUACGGAAAAUGGAAAAAUAUUUUCAGAUCUUCCUUCCCUCUGCUUAUUCACCAAAUGCUUUAUCAUAUAAGUAUUAUAUAUAAUGAACAUUAUAUAUAUAAACAUAUUUAUACAUUCAUUUGUGUAUAUAAUACAUACACAUGGGACAUACACACAUUUUUAUACUCUAUGUAUGAUAUAUAAUAUAGUAAUUUCAUACAUGCCUUGUGUAUAUGUAUAUAUAGGAUACACAAACAUAAUUUUUUUCUAAACUACUUGAGAAGAAGCUGCAGGCAUCAUACUCCUGCACUCCUUAAUACUUCAGUAUGCAUUCUUUUUGAAGAAUAUUUUAUUUAAAUUCAAUUUACCAACAUAUAUUACAACACCCAGUGCUCAUCCCAUCAAGUGCCCUCCUUAGUGCCUGUCACCCAGUCACCCCAUCCCCCCACCUUCCUCCCUUCAGUAUGCAUUCUAAGAACAAGGACAUAUUCUCAAAUAAUCGCAGACCAGUGAACAAAAUCAAUGCAACUGACCCAUUUGUCACGGGGCCUUUACUUAGCCUAAUCUGUGGUCACAUUGUUCCACUCAGUCUAAAGGAGGACAAGGAGGAUUGGAGAGAUUUCAGAAAUCAACUGAGGUCCCAGCUUAAUAAGUUCUACAGCAUUAAGAGUACUUCAUUUCCCCACAGUGUAAAGGUUAGUGGGAAGGGACAAGCAAUUAUAAUGUAUUAAGACUACAAUGUCAUCACUUUAGUUUGAGCUGCAAACACUUAUAGGUAGGAGCCAAAACAGGAAGAAUGUGGAUUUUGGACAGGAUAAUGUCUCCUAAUAAAACAUGGCAUGAUGGUUUUCUUUAGUCAACUUUUUAUUUGGACAUUUUAAAUCUAUAGAAACAUUGCAACAAUAGUAAAAAUGAUCACCUUACACUCUUCACCUGGAUUCAUCGAUUGCUAACAUACUGCCACAUUUCCUUCAGGUUUCCUAGCUACCUAUCUAUACCCACAAAUAUCUAUUAGCAAAAAUAAUUAUAGGUAGCUUUCAGUGAAAAUCAAUAAAAGGAAACCUCACUAACAUGGGGUCUGGAGGUUUAACAGGGGGAGCUCUCCUGUCCUACCACUUGUGGUCAAUUGCAAUUGCAACAGGAAGAAAUGGACCUUGCAAGCCAAUACUACUUCAUUCCAUCAGCAGGAGGAAGAAAGUCUCCUCAGCCCUGCUUCCCUCCUCCCACCCCAACAGACUAGCCAAUGAGAGAUAGUCACAGUCAGUGAGAUACAGCCACAGCUCAGCCAAUGAGGGACAGUCACAGCUCAGCCAACGAUAAGCCACUAUACUUCAGACUCCCAGUUUACUCCAAUGGACUUUUUGUGUAGAACAGUCCUGCGCAGCUUGCUCUAGAGAAGAGACAUCUCCUCCCUUCAUGUUCCUUGGAUAGCCAGCAUGCCUCUGGUUUUUGCAUCAGCCACGCGUCCCAGGUUACAAUUUUCUUCCAUCCCAAAUAAAUCGGUUUUUCCAGUAAAGUAACUGGCAGGGUGUUUUUUUAAGGUUAAUAUAUCUACAAUAUCGAUAUAUCUUCUACUUAGUUAUUCUUUUAAUAUUUUAAUUAUUUAUUCAUGAGAGACACACAGAGAGAGGCAGAGACAUAGGAAGAAGGAAAAGCAGGCUCCUUGCAAGGAGUCAAUGUGGGUCUUGAUCCUGGACCCCAGGAUCACAACCAGAGCCAAAGGCAGAUGCUCAACCGCUGAGCCACCCAGGUGUCCCCCUUCUACUUAGUUACAUAUAACACUGAGAUUAUACAAUGGUUUUAAAUAACUAUUCAUAUACAUAUCUAUAUAUAUUUAUUUUUUCUGAAUCCAUUGGAAAAUAAAUUACAGAUAUCAUGCCCCUAAAUCUUUUAGCAAAGGUCUAGU